rnacentral:lncRNA from 1 species
GAAAGGUGGAUCCUUUCAGAUGCUAGGCAGGCCUUAGCGUGCAUUUCUUGAAGCACCUUCCAGACUGUUAGAUACAGCAGCUCCUGUAUUUAUCAUGGUGACUUGAACAUCCAUUCAAGGGCCCCAAUUCAAAGAAAACGGGCUUGGCCUUUUUGUAAUCCAAGAGAAGUGGUUUGUGAGAUGUUUAUACAGAGUGUUAAUAUGAAGAGCGGGUCUUUCUACCAGAUAAAGAACCACAACAUGGUGUGUCAUUUCUGUUCAUGAUUUAGAACCUCGUGAUGCUUGGCUGCUGUAGCAUCAAACCAGCUACGGCAACACCUGCUCAGAUCUUGGGUGAGGGAACAAAAGAUGGAGACUGAGGCCAGCUUUCGUGGCUUUUCUGCAAAGCUU